rnacentral:rRNA from 1 species
AGUGAACGCUGGCGGUAGGCCUAACACAUGCAAGUCGAACGGAAGCACAGUGAGUGCGUGCGGUGCCGGGGUGCGAGUGGCGGACGGGUGAGGAAAGCAACGGACUCUACUUUUUGGGGUAGGAUAAGGUAGGUGAAGUUACGCCAAGACCGCAUACGACCUAGGGGGGAGAGGGGGGGAUCGUCGCGGCGGGUGGGGCUGGAUGCGCGGAUUAUCAACUAGCUGGUGGGGGAGGGGCUGGCCAAGGCAGGGGCGGGUAGCCGGCUGGAGAGGGUGACCGGGCACAUUGGGACUGAGAUACGGCCCAGACUCCUACGGGAGGCAGCAGUGGGGAAUAUUGCACAAUGGGCGGAAGCCUGAUGCAGCAACGCCGCGUGCGGGAUGACGGCCUUCGGGUUGUAAACCGCUUUCGCCUGUGACGAAGCGUGAGUGACGGUAAUGGGUAAAGAAGCACCGGCUAACUACGUG